GACGGAGGGUGCUAGCGUUGUUCGGAAUUACUGGGCGUAAAGGGCGCGUAGGCGGCUACGGCAGUCGGGUGUGAAAGCCCGGGGCUCAACCCCGGAACGGCAUCCGAUACUCUGUGGCUAGAGACCGGAAGAGGUGGGUGGAAUACCCAGUGUAGAGGUGAAAUUCGUAGAUAUUGGGUGGAACACCGGUGGCGAAAGCGGCUCACUGGUCCGGUUCUGACGCUGAGGCGCGAAAGCGUGGGGAGCAAACAGG
rnacentral:rRNA from 2 species